GUCUAUGGCCAUGCCAUCCUAAAUAAGCCCGAUGUCUGAUCUUAGAAGCUAAGCAGGGUCGGGCCUGGUUAGUAUUUGGAUGGGAGACCACCUAGGAAGACCAGGUGCUGUAGGCA
rnacentral:rRNA from 1 species